rnacentral:misc_RNA from 1 species
ACAAACUUGGUCAUUUAGAGGAAGUAAAAGUCGUAACAAGGUAACCGUAGGUGAACCUGCGGUUGGAUCAUUACAAAAUUAUCGCCUCUUGCCUGCCUCGCUUUCCAUAUUCUGGUGCGGGCGGCAGAGACAUUCCACCUUGUGAACCUUUGACGGAGCGGCGCCGCUUCGGCGGCGUCGUUUCGCAUAGUAUCCCACACAACUGUUUUAUUACAAUCAUUCUGACACCAAUAAAGAGAAACAAUGAGAAACAACUUUAGACAACGGAUCUCUUGGCUCUCGCAUCGAUGAAGAACGCAGC